AUUGAACGCUGGCGGCAGGCUUAACACAUGCAAGUCGAACGAGUGGCGGACGGGUGAGUAAUGCUUGGGAAUCUGGCUUAUGGAGGGGGAUAAAGACGGGAAACGGUAGCUAAUACCGCGUACCAUAGGAUGAGCCCAAGUGGGAUUAGGUAGUGGGUGGGGUAAUGGCCUACCAAGUCGACGAUCUCUAGCUGGUCUGAGAGGAUGACAAGCCACACCGGGAUGUGGACACGGCCCUGACUCCUACGGGAGGAAGCAGUGGGAAAUAUUGCGCAAUGGGGGCAACCCUGACGCAGCCAUGCCGCGUGUAUGAAGAAGGCCUUCGGGUUGUAAAGUUCUUUCGGUAGGGAGGCGUUACAUACAGAAGAAGCACCGGCUAACUCCGUGCCAGCAGCCGCGGUAAUUC
rnacentral:rRNA from 1 species